GACAUAUAUUUUCUGUUACACUGUUGCCUUAGCGCUAAGAUUUCUUUGAUUUUCUGCUGGCAGCUUUACCACCCAGUGGAGAUGUCCUCAAGCGUUCACCAUUGCUGCCUUUCCUGCUAAGAAAAUAGAAUUUGCAUGUGUUUCAAUACUUUCUGGAAUCCUACCUUCCAUAUGCAGUCUAGGGUUCAGUGGUGGAAAAUUUGGCAUGGGAUAUCUGGCACAGCAAAUACACGUCUGCUUGUUAAGGUUAAAACUGUCUAUUUUUGAAAUGGUAAAGACAAGGAGUGGACACUUCUUCCUGACAUUUAAAUAAGGAUGUGUCACAGAAGAGGCAAGAACAGAAAAUUCCAACAAAGACAAAAGAAAUAAACAUCGUAAAUAUGUUGUGCUCUUUAAUGUUGGCAUCGUUUUCAGACUUGUGUUAGGUGAAAAUGAAUGUUUUUGAUCUUCUAUCAAAGGUUUACCUUGAAAAUACAGAUGAAAGAUAAACAUCAUUAGUCCACUCUGAUCUCACUUCAGUGCUCUUUUUUUCCAUGUGCCCAUCAGAUUGUCUCAUUGUUUUUGAUUUUUUUUUUUAAAUCUGAUUUUCUGUUUAUCUGAAUAGCUGCUAAAUUCUUUGAUCUAUUUUUGUUGGACUUGCAAGGAACUUCAGAACUUCUGUGAAAGCAAGACAGAGAGAAGCAAUGUGUUUCACCUCUACUUUUUGUUGCUUCCAUUUGGAUAUUGGGAAGUCUUUGUGUAGAGAAUAAAUGAUAUAAGGUAUAGGGUAGUGAAAUCUCAUUUAAAAUAAAU
rnacentral:lncRNA from 1 species